AGUCGUAUCGAUUCGAUUGGGAUAGUCAUCAAAUAAAUCUGAAAACCGAGAAGACUUCUCUUGACAAUGGCGGGCCACAUAAAACGCAUUUCAGCGACUAAACCUUAGGGUCGGUGGAUUACAAAAGCAGAGAGUUCUCUUAUCAUAGAUACUCGGACUUUUCAUCACAUCAUCGAUGCGGCUUUCUCA
rfam:Prevotella intermedia 17 chromosome II, complete sequence.